CCCGUCAGUAUGCCGAGCCCUGCCGCUGACCGGGACCCCAGCGCAUUCCACUGGCAGGGACGGGGGAACCGCGUUUCCACGGCUUUCGUUCGAAGCCUUGGGGUUAAGCCGGUAUCGCUCCGUCCCGUGCGGAGCCGUAACCGGCCGGGUGUCUCCGACCCGAACCCGACAGCUCACCCCGCAGGCAUGGGAGAGGCGAUCA
rnacentral:sRNA from 2 species